rfam:Felis catus isolate Cinnamon breed Abyssinian chromosome C1, whole genome shotgun sequence.
GCCUGGGUGGCUCAGUCAGUUGAGCAUCCGACUUCGGCUCAGGUGGUAAUCUCGCGGUCCGUGAGUUCGAGCCCCACAUCGGGCU